rnacentral:rRNA from 1 species
AUAACGACUCUCGGCAACGGAUAUCUCGGCUCUCGCAUCGAUGAAGAACGUAGCGAAAUGCGAUACUUGGUGUGAAUUGCAGAAUCCCGUGAACCAUCGAGUCUUUGAACGCAAGUUGCGCCCGAAGCCGUUAGGCCAAGGGCACGCCUGCCUGGGCGUCUCACA